GGAUAACCUACCCUUAGGACUGGGAUAACCCUGGGAAACUGGGGAUAAUACCGGAUAGGCAAUUUUUCCUGGAAUGGUUUUUUGUUUAAAUGUUUUUUCGCCUAAGGAUGGGUCUGCGGCCGAUUAGGUAGUUGGUUAGGUAACGGCUUACCAAGCCAUUGAUCGGUACGGGUUGUGAGAGCAAGAGCCCGGAGAUGGAACCUGAGACAAGGUUCCAGGCCCUACGGGGUGCAGCAGGCGCGAAACCUCCGCAAUGUGAGAAAUCGCGACGGGGGGAUCCCAAGUGCCAUUCUUAACGGGAUGGCUUUUCAUUAGUGUAAAGAGCUUUUGGAAUAAGGGCUGGGCAAGACCGGUGCCAGCCGCCGCGGUAACACCGGCAGCUCUAGUGGUAGCAGUUUUUAUUGGGCCUAAAGCGUCCGUAGCCGGUUUAAUAAGUCUCUGGUGAAAUCCUGUAGCUUAACUGUGGGAAUUGCUGGAGAUACUAUUAGACUUGAGACCGGGAGAGGUUAGAGGUACUCCCAGGGUAGAGGUGAAAUUCUGUAAUCCUGGGAGGACCGCCUGUUGCGAAGGCGUCUAACUGGAACGGUUCUGACGGUGAGGGACGAAAGUUAGGGGCGCGAACCGGAUUAGAUACCCGGGUAGUCCUAACUGUAAACGAUGCGGACUUGGUGUUGGGGUGGCUUUGAGCUGCUCCAGUGC
rnacentral:rRNA from 1 species